rnacentral:rRNA from 1 species
UACGUAGGGUGCAAGCGUUGUCCGGAAUUAUUGGGCGUAAAGAGCUCGUAGGCGGUCUGUCGCGUCGGCUGUGAAAUCCCGGAGCUCAACUCCGGGUCUGCAGUCGAUACGGGCAAACUGGAGUACUGCAGGGGAGACCGGAAUUCCUGGUGUAGCGGUGAAAUGCGCAGAUAUCAGGAGGAACACCGGUGGCGAAGGCGGGUCUCUGGGCAGUAACUGACGCUGGAGGAGCGAAAGCGUGGGGAGCGAACAGG